GAUGAACGCUGGCGGCGUGCCUAAUACAUGCAAGUCGAGCGAACAGACGAGGAGCUUGCUCCUCUGACGUUAGCGGCGGACGGGUGAGUAACACGUGGAUAACCUACCUAUAAUACUGGGAUAACUUCGGGAAACCGGAGCUAAUACCGGAUAAUAUAUUGAACCGCAUGGUUCAAUAGUGAAAUACGGUUUUGCUGUCACUUAUAGAUGGAUCCGCGCCGCAUUAGCUAGUUGGUAAGGUAACGGCUUACCAAGGCGACGAUGCGUAGCCGACCUGAGAGGGUGAUCGGCCACACUGGAACUGAGACACGGUCCAGACUCCUACGGGAGGCAGCAGUAGGGAAUAUUCCGCAAUGGGCGAAAGCCUGACGGAGCAACGCCGCGUGAGUGAUGAAGGUCUUCGGAUCGUAAAACUCUGUUAUUAGGGAAGAACAAAUGUGUAAGUAACUAUGCACGUCUUGACGGUACCUAAUCAGAAAGCCACGGCUAACUACGUG
rnacentral:rRNA from 1 species